rnacentral:rRNA from 1 species
GAAUUCACUAGUGAUUCAGGCCUAUCGCAUGCAAAAAAAACGAACCCUUCGGGGUGAGCGGCGGACGGGUGAGUAACGCGUGGGUAACCUGCCCUAUACACACGGAUAACGUACCGAAAGGUACGCUAAUACGAGAUAACAUAUUUUUAUCGCAUGGUAGAAAUAUCAAAGCUCCGGCGGUAUAGGAUGGACCCGCGUCUGAUUAGCUAGUUGGUAAGGUAAUGGCU